UGUCCCUCUCGAAGCGCCUUGCAGAGGAGAGGGACUUUAGAGAGACUAGGUGUAGAUCUGAGGGAAGACGUAAGCGCAGCUAACGUUUGUUUUCCUGCAGCUCACCUCCACCUGAACAGCUUCAACAAUUCUGAGUUUGCGUCAAGUUCACAUACUCAAGAGGACCAUUUGGCUAAGAUAUUUGAUGAGAUCCUGCUGCAGGUCUUUUCCAACGACCCAAAAUAUUUAUCAAAAGAAGACGCCAGAGCAGCUGAUGAGCUGGUUAAGUGGAGAGACUUGGUGAAGGAAGCUCAUGUUGCUGAGA